ensembl:lncRNA
UGGCGACUCCCACUUCUAUGCCAGGCCAGAGGGAGGCAAACAGCCAAGGCGCGCCUCGAAGGUCCCGCACCGUUUCACUGGGCAGAAGGACAGUGUGUUCCGAGUCACAGAGAAAAGGAAGGAAAUGGUCGGAGCAUCUGAAGUCCAAGAGGAUGGAAGUGUGAAGGUGGAACUGCCCAUAGAUCAGAUGGAAGCCAAAGUGGUUGAAGAGGAACAAAACGAAUACAAAUAUUCCCAACUUGAGACUGGGGGUCAGAGCCCUAACAGAGACUUCCACAGAGGUUAUGAUGUGAACUGGACUACAGCCUAUAAGGUCAUAGGCUUUAUCAUUAUGA